rnacentral:lncRNA from 1 species
AAAACAUACAUGCUAAAGUGGAGCACGAGACAUUUAUAUCAAAGAGCGGUGAGGAGGUGGAAGAAGUGGGCAGUGCAUAGGGUGAAGUAAGUCAGGAAAAAACGUCUUGGAGGUGGAACAUUGCUCUCUGAAAAGAAAUGAACGUGACAGUAGACAAGGCUAUGGAAGCUUCAGAUCCUGGGAGGGGCUAGUCUUGGAGGUAGCAGAGCCCUGCUCACUGGAAGGGGUGUGCCUGGCUACACAGGCCCCUUUUGGCUCACAGCAGCGCAUCUGUGGAAACCCAGGUUACCACUGUCUGUGCCUCAUCAAAGUCUGCCUGCUGCUUGGCGACAUCACGCUCCAGACCUGUCUCUAGGAGCCGUGUGACUGAAGGUCAAGGGUGUCUCCAGGGAGCUCUCACCUGCCUGGUUCGCCCCUGCCCUGCCCUCUGAUUGGUUAUCCACACACCCACAAAGUUGUUUCACUCUCUGCUCUAAAACAGUACAGGAUUUCUGGUGGCAAGGGAUGCAGCCUUCAUUACCACCCCCCAACCCGCACCCCAACACAAAGCAGAGGAUACAAAACAAAUGGAGGCUUCAUAUGUUCUGGCAGCAAGUCCUCGCCCAGAAAUCUGGAGAUGCAAAUAAAGGCCCCCUCGAACAAAACUCGCUAAACGUGCUGAGUGGCCACGAGCCCAUCCAAGAUAAAACUAAACUAGAAAACAUCUAAAGGCAUGGAAGAGGAGAAGGAAGCCAGGCUCUCAGCCCUGGCUGUGGAGGAGCUCCGCUCCGAAGGGCGAGGUCUGUCCACCAGGGAACAGGGGAGCCUGGUCUCUGGAGCGUGGAAACCACACCUGCCACCUUCCCCCGCGCACCAUGGUGGAUGCUACAGACAACAAAAGACUAGCUUUAUUAUUAUCUCCUGGGAAAACCCCGAUUACUUCGCUCUAUGACAUCCCCACUGAGAACUGCCACCAGCUCUACAGGUGAUCAGUUCUCACAUUAGGACUCAAAUGGAAGAAGGCUUUCCCCAAAAGUUGUCAAAAUUUAAUAUUCAAACUCGUAUAGCUAUCUGCAUCCGAUUCAUCUCACAAAGAAUCUUCUCCACAACCCAGGGUCUCUACAAGAAGCCAACAACUUGCAUGUGCUUAGAAAUCUCUGAGCAACCAGGGGUUCGUGUGUGCAUCCCUGGACACCGGGACUGCCUUCGUGAUGCUGUAAAUGGGCCCCGUCGUCCCAACUGCUAAGGUGCUUGGGAGCAGCCUGCGGAGAGGGAAGCACUGAGAGUGAGCCUGGAGGGAGCCUGGGGUCACUGUCACAGAGUUUGUACUUGAAACCUCCCCUGGGGGGUGCCAAGAGGCUGCCUCUACAAAGCAAGAGAGGAAUGUACCAUCUCACAACAGUCUUACAGUCUUACAAGAAAAAGAAAAGGAAAGCCAGAUGCACUGACUCAUGCCUGUAAUCCCAGCACUUUGAGAGGCUGAACGGGAGCAUGACCUGAGGUCAGGAGUUCAAGACCAACCUGGCCAACAUGAUGAAACCCCGUCUCUACUAAAAGUACGAAAAUUAGCUGGGUGUACAAAAUUACAAAAUUUAGUACAAAAAUUCACCUGCAGGAGAAUCACUUGAACCUGGGAGGCAGAGGUUGCAGUGAGCCGAGACUGCACCAUUGCACUCCAGCCUGUGUAAAAAGAGUAAAAUUCCACCUCAAAAAAAAAAAAAAAGGAAAAAAGGAACAGAAAAAAAAAAAGGAAGACAAAGCUAAGGAAGACCACGAUAAAGAAAAUAAAGGAGAAGAGAUGACUAUGAUGACCGUUCGCACAACUGUCAGAUGCAGGUCAUGGUGGUUAAAUGCAACAAAGCCCAGAGAUGUCUUGCCUGCCUUUCCUACCUUUACUAAUCAUCAAAUAUAUCCACAACCAGUUGCUCUUCAUCAGGAUUUGCUGGGUGCUAAGACUGAAUGCUUAUGUCCCCCUCACAAUUAAGGGAUUGAGUGUUCUUACAAAAGAGACUCCAGAGAGAUCCUGUGUCCCUUUCACCAGCAUGCUCCUCCACCUGUCUGCAUGUCGGUUGCUGCGUCCAUAUAAAGUGCUGCAGGGAUAUUUCGAGAAGCUAAUAAGACAAGUCAAUGUGCAAAUACCUUGCAAGUAUCUAAAAUGAAAAAUGUGAGCUCUUCUUCCCCAAGCAAAGAAAAGACCCAAAUAAAAAAUAACACAUAUGUAGAGGUUAUCUAUGAUAUUUUAGAUUUUAUGAGCUCUCUAUAAAUGAACAUUUGUUUCCUUUGUUCCUGAAAUGAAACCAUUACCUGUUUUUCUUGUUUGCCUUUUCCAGCCUAUCUGCCAAAAGUUAUUUUAUUUUACAAAAUGUCUUCCUAAAUUAUCCAAUCCUUUUCCUUCUGAACAUUUAAAACCAUUCAAAAAACCCAAAGUACAUUUUGAUCUAAGCAAUUAAGUUUCUUUACAUCAGUAAUCCCAAUGUCAUGUUGCGAACGUCAUUCUAGAAAAUGUCCCACAGCAAGUUUUUAAUGGCCUGUAAGCAGAGGCUUUAAAAUAAGGACAUUUUUAAAUGCUGGGUCAGGAAUAACUUCAGUGAGGCUCCAGCCCCCUGCCGCGACCUUUCUGCUGACAUGUCUCUGUUGACGCCAAUAUGGAAAUCCACUUGUUUCCAGGCUUUCUCUCUUCAUACCUCAUUAGGAUUCUGCACUGUUACAAAGUAAAACCACUGCCAGGACCAUGAAAUAUGAGGCAAUGGAAUACUCUAAAAUCCCACACCAUUCUUCAUUUACUGUCUUUCCAUCAAGUCACCAAACCAAAACUAUCAAAUUGAUUGUACAAGGCAAGAGAUAUGACAGAGUUAGAUGCCCAGAACAUUUUUUGCAAUCCUUCUUUUCUGGCGGGGUGGAGAUCUGAAAAUGUAUCCCUUCUAGGUUUCUGUAAGUAAUCAGAAGAACUGCAAAUUAUACUUUUGUUUUUGCCAAACUUUUAAGCUUGACAUGAUUGAAACUUCUAGAUUCCUCUAGUUUUCUCCUCUAAAAGCAACACUUCCAGCUAGGUUUAGCUGCUUCGCUGGAGAGCAUGCUGCAAUGUACCCAGCUUACCAUGAUGUCCCAGACAUGCUUUAAUAUACAGCUAGCAUAAGCAUGCCUAUUUUACUAAGGAUUUUCAUUUAAUUUUGUCCUUCUAUAAAACUAUCUAACCUUGGACAGUAUUACAGAUGACUCCUGGUCAUGUGAGUAGGCCAGGGAUUAGGGAUUUGGAUAUGAGGUGCUCCUUAGGAUUUCCCUGCCAAAGCAUUCCCUGCUGGUGUGUUCCAAUCACAAAAGAUAGCAGUGCUGUUGGAAAAGGCGGUGGCAUUUUUGCCAUCCAGGAUCCAGAUGCUUUCUUCGCUCCUGGGAUGGUAGCAAAAAAAACCUCAAAUCUUCAAAGUGAAUACCAGCAUUGAUCUUUAAGUUCAGUGAUGGAAUUACUCUCAGAGGCUUCCAUAACUAAAUUGAAAUCUCCCCAAUUCAAAAUUUCAAAAUAGAGUUUUCUUCUUACCUUCUGUUUUUGUCUGAAUGCAGUUCCGUCUCUCUCUCUGCACCAUAACAAAUCUCGGAAUUGGCUUCCCCAAUUUCCACCAAUCACCCAGCACUGGAAAGUCUAGUCUGUGCCCCCACCGGACCACAGUGACCACCACCGUGUGGCUAAGCCAACCUCUGCUCCACGUGGGGGCCCCUCUGGCCACGCCAGGACCUUUCAUCUCAACCACCCACCAAAGCAAGUGUCAACAUCUCCUUACAGAUUUGCAUCAGAAAUGUUAAGAAAUGUUACUACAGGCAGCAGAAGAGCCACUCCUUACCUCCUGUUAAAACAUUAUAAAAAGGAAAUGUGUGAGGAAGAAGAGCAUAGGUUUGUGUACUAAAUCUCAGAAGAGCAGCUUUUCAAAACUCUGUCAGGCCUGGGAGACAAAGGAAAUAUAUCUUGACCUCACAGAGAGCAUUCAGGUGGAAAAAAGUAAUUUUUUUAACUUGAAAUUUACAUUUAACUAAAAUGAAUUUGUCUCACAAUGAAGAAAGACUAAAUAAAUCAUGGUAUAGCCUAAGUGGAAAAUGGUUCCACUGUUAGAAAUCCGCAUUGAUAAAAGCCAUUCACUAACGUCGGUGAGGCAGGAGAACAGUGGCUGGAGGGAGAGAACAUAAGGCCGAUUCACGCUGAUUUCCUAGAACUAAAUCAAAUGGAAACACUUCAGUGAUGACAGGUAAUACCCUCUCCAUUUACAUAGGGCAUACACAGAGUAAAUGACUUUGUAACUUAACUUCAUGCUCUUCAUUACACAGGGCAUACACCAAUAUAAACCAAUGGAAGUAACCAAUGGAAACCUCUAGAGGGUAUUUAAACCCCAGAAAAUUCUGUAACUGGGCUCUUGAGCCCGUGUGCUAGGACCACUCCCACCCUGUGGAGUGUACUUUCAUUUUCAAUAAAUCUCUGA